UAGUCACUGUUCCGGUGAACUACAGGGAUGGCUGUUGUCAGAGCAAAUGGACCUAAGGUUUUCUAAAUUAUCUGAAAAUCAAGCAUCUGCUUACUUCUCAUCUGCCUUUCCCUCCUCCUUGGAAAUCAGAAGUCAUGUGGUGUUGUGCCCCUAGUGCUGCUUCCUUGCUUCUAGGAAUGGGUUGACUUGAAACACCUCUUGUCUGGAGAGCUAGAAAACAGUCCUGCAGAUAAUUAUCACCUCUACAUCAGUGUUGGAGCAGGAAGCAAGGCUGCACCAGUGCCAGUGAAGGACUGA